rnacentral:rRNA from 1 species
GACGAACGCUGGCGGCGUGCUUAACACAUGCAAGUCGAACGGAAAGGCCCUGCUUUUGUGGGGUGCUCGAGUGGCGAACGGGUGAGUAACACGUGAGUAACCUGCCCUUGACUUUGGGAUAACUUCAGGAAACUGGGGCUAAUACCGGAUAGGAGCUCCUGCUGCAUGGGGGGGGUUGGAAAGUUUCGGCGGUUGGGGAUGGACUCGCGGCUUAUCAGCUUGUUGGUGGGGUAGUGGCUUACCAAGGCUUUGACGGGUAGCCGGCCUGAGAGGGUGAACGGCCACAUUGGGACUGCGAUACGGCCCAGACUCCUACGGGAGGCAGCAGUGGGGAAUAUUGCACAAUGGGCGGAAGCCUGAUGCAGCAACGCCGCGUGCGGGAUGACGGCCUUCGGGUUGUAAACCGCUUUCGCCUGUGACGAAGCGUGAGUGACGGUAAUGGGUAAAGAAGCACCGGCUAACUACGUG